GACGAACGCUGGCGGCGCGCCUAACACAUGCAAGUCGAACGAGCGAGAGAGAGCUUGCUUUCUCGAGCGAGUGGCGAACGGGUGAGUAACGCGUGAGGAACCUGCCUCAAAGAGGGGGACAACAGUUGGAAACGACUGCUAAUACCGCAUAAGCCCACGGUGCCGCAUGGCACAGAGGGAAAAGGAGCAAUCCGCUUUGAGAUGGCCUCGCGUCCGAUUAGCUAGUUGGUGAGGUAAUGGCCCACCAAGGCGACGAUCGGUAGCCGGACUGAGAGGUUGAACGGCCACAUUGGGACUGAGACACGGCCCAGACUCCUACGGGAGGCAGCAGUGGGGAAUAUUGCACAAUGGGGGAAACCCUGAUGCAGCGACGCCGCGUGGAGGAAGAAGGUCUUCGGAUUGUAAACUCCUGUUGUUGGGGAAGAUAAUGACGGUACCCAACAAGGAAGUGACGGCUAAUUACGUG
rnacentral:rRNA from 1 species